GACAGAGGGGGCAAGCGUUGUCCGGACUAACUGGGCGUAAAGCGUCCGCAGGCGGCACGGCAAGUGUGAGCUGAAAUCGCCCGGCUUAACCGGGCGGAGCGCUGACAAACUGCCGCGCUCGAGGCGUGCAGAGGUGCGUGGAAUUGCCGGUGUAGUGGUGAAAUGCGUAGAGAUCGGCAGGAACACCAAGGGGGAAGCCAGCGCACUGGGCACCGCCUGACGCUCAGGGACGACAGCGUGGGGAGCGAACCGG
rnacentral:rRNA from 1 species